ensembl:snRNA U6 U6 spliceosomal RNA
GUGCUCACUUCAGCAGCACCUAUACUAAAAUUGGAAUGAUACAGAGAAGAUUAGCAUGGCCCCUGCACAAGGAUGACACGCAAUUUGUGAAGUGUUCCAUAUUUCA